UGUUGAGAUCACACUUAUUACAGCUACAAGCUUACUUAUUUAUAUAGCUGGGUAAGUCAGUGGAGCAAUUUAGGGUAAAUUAUACCUCGCUCCAGUGUACUACAGCUGGAAGUAGGGCUGGAACCUGGAACCUGGAACCUUAGUCUGUGUUGGUCCAAACCAUUAGACUAUCCCCAUUCAGUGCGCUGUGCCCUUGCUAAAGACUCCGAGGCAGCGCGUUUCUACAAACGCAGCAGCUGUUCUGCACAAAUACUCUGUCUGUGUAGGUUGAACAUCAGGCUUUCGAGGGCUGUGUUGCCCACAGUGUCGCUGGGAGGCGCUUCCUCCUCCUGCAGAAUGAGAACGGUUGAUUCUAGCUCUGCUUCUGCUGCUGCUGCUGCUGGCGGCAAAACCUCCGUGGGCGCGCGCUGCAAGCAACAAAUCCGCGCUGGAUGUUCUCCAGAAGACCUUCUGACCUCGGAGAGACUGCCGACGCCUUCUCCGCUCCUGCCCCGCGCGCGACUCUCUAACCGCCGGAGCGCCGAGACGUUUCGCGCGGGUGCGUGCGCGCGCGCCGCUCAAACUCGCGGGAAGCCACGGAUUGACCAUGUGCGCGCGGUAGCGGGAAGAGCGCGCGCGCGCGGCGCUGCCUAACGGACGGCCUCCUCGCACAGUCCCAGGUCCGGGAAUCGUUAAUCGCGAGGCGCUUUUCGUCCCACCCAUGAGUGCACUCUUGAUAUUGCUCUCUUUCGUUUGUGGAAAGCUCUGCGCUCGGCCCCGGGAUCCCAUCGCUAAGAAAAGUGUGAGACAAGAGUGUGUCUGCUGGGGGUCCCACUGCUGCCAGGACGGUCCCUUCAGCUGUGAGCUCUGGAUGUAUUUGUGCGUCGUCAGCUGUGUGGGCGCCCUUCUUCCCAGCACUGAAGCUUCAGGAACUCUGCAGGAGAUCCAGAAACGUCUCAGUGACCAGAGGAAACUGAUUGAACCCUUCAGGUUAUGGGAUCAUAACGGCACUUAUUAUACCCCAAGCUAUGAUGGCGGGCUAAGGGCCAGGCGGAGCGGGGGGCGGAGCAACGACAGGGGAAUCUAAGCAAGCCAUCUAUUUCUUCCCUCGGGCGGACCAGUAAGAGGGAGAGAGAGCGUGAAGCCUGGAUGCCAGAGACGAAGCUGGAGCACCUCCCCGACCCUUAUUAAGCGCCUCCCGGAGCGCCACCCCUCGACACCAGCUCCCUGUGCCCCCUUUUCCCCUCUGUCCACUGACACACCUGCCCGUUAAUAAACCCCUCCUCACGAGCA
rnacentral:lncRNA from 1 species